UACGGAGGAUGCGAGCGUUAUCCGGAUUUAUUGGGUUUAAAGGGUGCGUAGGCGGGCAUUUAAGCCGGCGGUCAAAUGUCGGGGCUCAACCCCGGCCUGCCGUCGGAACUGGGUGCCUUGAGUGGGCGAGAAGUAUGCGGAAUGCGUGGUGUAGCGGUGAAAUGCUUAGAUAUCAUGAAGAACUCCGAUCGCGAAGGCAAGUGUCCGGGGUGCAACUGACGCUGAGGCUCGAAAGUGCGGGUAUCAAACAGG
rnacentral:rRNA from 1 species